AUCUUGAAGCUUGGCUGCUGUUGCGUAUUCUGCUGCUGGUAUGCUGGUGUUGUUUGACCAGUCUAUUUGGGCAAACAAUGCUUUGUCUGUUUAGGCAGACUGUCUCUGCCUUCAUGCUGUCUGCUUGUUUGCCCAGUCUGUUUGGGCAAACAGCAGUCUGUCUCAGUUUCUGGCAGUUUUUCUUCAGCUAGAUGUCUUUGCAAUUCUGAACCUCCAUCAUCAGCCUUGACUUCUUGAAGUUCUUUUCCACUUCUCAACAUAAUGGCACUUACAUUUUGCUUGGGAUUUGCCUCGGUUUGGGAU
rnacentral:lncRNA from 1 species